ensembl:misc_RNA Metazoa_SRP Metazoan signal recognition particle RNA
GCCGGGUGCGGUGGCGCGCGCCUGUAAUCCAAGCUACCGGGAGGCUGAGGCUGGCGGAUCGUUUGAGCUCAGGAGCUCUGAGCUGCAGCGGACUAUGCCGAUCGGGUGUCCGCACUAAGUUCGGCAUCGAUAUGGUGCUCCUGGGGGAGCUCGGGACCACCAGGUCGCCUAAGGAGGGGUGCACCGGCCCAGGUCGGAAACGGAGCAGGUCAAAGCCCCCGUGCCGCUCAGUAGUGGGAUCGCGCCUGUGAAUAGACGCUGUAGUGCAGCCUGAGUAAUACAGCGGGACCCAGUCUUUU